AGGACGAACGCUGGCGGCGUGCUUAACACAUGCAAGUCGAGCGGUAAGGCCCUUCGGGGUACACGAGCGGCGAACGGGUGAGUAACACGUGGGUGACCUGCCCUUAGCUCUGGGAUAAGCCUGGGAAACCGGGUCUAAUACCGGAUAGGACUCCAUGACGCAUGUUGUGGGGUGGAAAGCCUUGUGCGGCUAGGGAUGGGCCCGCGGCCUAUCAGCUUGUUGGUGGGGUGAUUGCCUACCAAGGCGACGACGGGUA
rnacentral:rRNA from 1 species